rnacentral:rRNA from 1 species
GAAAGCAGGGGAUCGAAAGACCUUAUGCUUUUGGAGCGGCCGAUGUCUGAUUAGCUAGUUGGUAAGGUAAUGGCUUACCAAGGCGACGAUCAGUAGUUGGUCUGAGAGGACGGCCAGCCACACUGGGACUGAGACACGGCCCAGACUCCUACGGGAGGCAGCAGUGGGGAAUUUUGGACAAUGGGCGCAAGCCUGAUCCAGCAAUGCCGCGUGAGUGAAGAAGGCCUUCGGGUUGUAAAGCUCUUUCAGUCGAGAAGAAAAGGUUGUGACUAAUAAUCAUAACUCAUGACGGUAUCGACAGAAGAAGCACCGGCUAACUACGUGCCAGCAGCCGCGGUAAUACGUAGUGUGCGAGCGUUAAUCGGAAUUACUGGGCGUAAAGCGUGCGCAGGCGGU